GACGGAGGGGGCUAGCGUUGUUCGGAAUUACUGGGCGUAAAGCGUGCGUAGGCGGCCUUUCAAGUUGGGUGUGAAAGCCCGGGGCUCAACCCCGGAAAUGCGCCCAAGACUGUUUGGCUAGAGUCUCGGAGAGGUGAGUGGAACUCCCAGUGUAGAGGUGAAAUUCGUAGAUAUUGGGAAGAACACCAGUGGCGAAGGCGGCUCACUGGACGAGUACUGACGCUGAGGCACGAAGGCCAGGGGAGCAAACGGG
rnacentral:rRNA from 1 species